GCAUGUGAAGACCUGUGUUGAUAUUUUCCUUUUUUUUUGCCAAGGGGAUGCAAAGCAGCCAAAUAUUCAUUGAUUGGAAUCACUGAAGCUGCAGUCAUGGUGCCACCGAGCCAAAUAUUGUGAGUCUCAAUACAACCACUGUCUACAAAUUAUCUCUCAACACAAUUCUCUCAAACAAUCUUUUCCAGGAGGAGUUAGUGACCAUGACCUGAUUUUUUACUGAUGAGUACCAUGAAAGACAAGAUAACCUUUUGGAUUGAGAACAUAGCUCAUUAAUCAAGGUCUGGGCCAUACUGUCAGAACAUGGAUUUCUGAGCACAUCAAAAUUUCUAG